GCUGUUAUGUGACUUGCCGGGGUAGUCAGUUCGGGUCCAGAGUGAAUUCAGAAUGAAAUGAUACACUUAGUCUCAAGGUUGAAAGCUUAAGUUGAAAUGAUUGACCGGAUGUUGAUCUAUGAGUAAACGACUCCGGAAUUGAGUUUUGAUGGUUCUGUUAGCUCCGUUGGGAGAAUUUGGACUUAGGAGCGUGUCUGGAUUGUGAUUUGGAGAUCCGUAGUGGAAUUAGGCUUGAAAUGGCGAAAGUUGAAUUUUUGGGAAGUUUGACCGAGAGUGGACUUUUUGUUAUCAGGGUCGAAUUCCGAUUCCGGAAGUUAGAGUAGGUUCGCAAUGUCAAAUGUGAUUUGUGUGCAAAUUUUGGGGUCAAUCGGACGUGUUUUGAUGGGUUUCGGCGUCGUUUGUAGAAAUUUAAUUUCCUUAGUUUCAAUAGGCUUGAAUUGGGGUGCGAUUCAUGUUUUUGAAGUUGUAUGAUGUGAUUUGAGGGCUCGACUAAGUUCGUAUGAGGUUUUAGGACUUAUUGGUAUGUUUGGUUGAGGUCCCGGGGGCCUCGGUUGAUUCCGGAUGGUUAACGGAUCAAAAGUUGAAGUUGAGUGAUUGCUGAAGUUGGACCCCUGCUGGUGUAACAGCACCUGCGGAGCUUUGAUCGCAUGUGCGAGCUCGCAGGUGCGGGCUGGCUUGCGCACGUGCGAGUUGGAGGGGAGUGUGCAGGUGGUCGCAGGUGCGAGGAGUUUUCCGCACCUGCGUGGCCGCAGAUGCGGUGAGAGGUGCGCAGAAGCGGAAGGUGCGCAGGUGCGAUAGGGAGUUCCGCAUCUGCGGUCAGGGGAACCGCAGAAGCGGAACUGGGUAGAUGGGCUUGGUCCGCAGAGGCGGCUUGGGUUCUCGCAGAAGCGGAGUGAGGGACCGCAGGAGCGGAAUGAGCCGCAGAUGCGUGUGUGAUGUCGCAGAAGCGGAAGUGCUGGGCAGAUUAUUAAAACAAGGGUUUGCGAUUUUGGCUUCAUUUCAAACAUUUCAAGCACGGGUUUGGGCGAUUCUUGAGAGGGUUUUCGAGGGGAUUCUUGAGGUAAGUCUCUUGCGCUCAUUUUUUAUCAAUAAUCUUGCUUCCCCGUUGAUUUUCCCACUUAGUUGGUGUGUAUUUAAGGUGUAAAUUGGGAGUUUGAAGCUAGGAAUUUGGAGAGUUUGAUUUGGGGAUUUGGGUGACGAUUUGGUGUCGGAUUUUGAUAAAUUUGGUAUGCUUAGACUCGUGGUUGAAUGGGCUUUCGGGUUUUGUGACUUUAAUCGAAUUUCGAGACAUGGGCCCGGGGGCGGCUUUUGAGUCGAUUUUUGACUUUUGAUUAAUAACUUAGCAUUUCCUUAUGGAGUUGAUUCCUUUAACCCGUAUUGAUUAUAUCGAAUUGUUUAUGGCUAGAUUCGAAGCAUUCAGAGGCCGUUUCGCGAGGUAAGGGUGUGUUGGAGUAGAGAUUGCACGGAUUGAGGUAAGUAACAGUUCUAAAUUUGGUUCUGAGGGUACAAAACCCUAUAUUACGUGUCAUGUAUUUGGUUUUGAGGUGACGCACAUGCUAGGUGACGGGCGUGUGGGCGUGCACCUUAGGAAUUGUGACUUGGUCAAAUUUCAUGGAACUGUGUAGUUGAAUAAUCUGUUGUUAUCUGUACAUUCUCCAUGUAUUAGAGAAAUUGAACCACAAAUCAUGUUAGCAAUCAUGUUUAGACUAUGUGUUGGCACUGUAGGAACCCACAAAGGUCGGGUACAUGUUGAAUUAUCUGCUAAAUUGGUGUUUUGUACUCGAUCACAGUUUUACUUGUAUAUUACAUCUCAGUCUCUAUUGUUCAUUAUUGAUGCAUAAUAUUAUUGUUGUUUGGGCUGCUUAUCAUGAUUUCUGAGAGCCCAAGAGACUGGGGAGAUUGAUGAAUGAGUGAAGCCGAGGGCCUGAUUGUGAGGAUGUUUAUGGGAUCGGGCUGCACGCCGCAACAUGUUUUACUGAUGUAUGCCAUGAUUAGCUUGUUAUAGCACUUGGGCUGAAGGAGCCCCUCCGGAGUCUGCACACACCCCUAGUGAGCGCAUAUACCUACUGAGUGCGAGUGCCGAGUGCCGAGUGAUUGAGAGGAAUGAGUGAUUGUGAGGAAAGAGUGAUUGUGAGGUUGGAGUGAAUGGGAGGACUGAGUGAUUGUUGCUCUGAGAG
rnacentral:lncRNA from 1 species